rnacentral:rRNA from 1 species
AUUGAACGCUGGCGGCAUGCCUUACACAUGCAAGUCGAACGGUAACGGGCCUUCGGGUGCCGACGAGUGGCGAACGGGUGAGUAAUGUAUCGGAACGUACCUUUCAGUGGGGGAUAACGUAGCGAAAGUUACGCUAAUACCGCAUAUUCUGUGCGCAGGAAAGCAGGGGAUCGCAAGACCUUGCGCUGAUUGAGCGGCCGAUAUCAGAUUAGCUAGUUGGUGAGGUAAAGGCUCACCAAGGCGACGAUCUGUAGCGGGUCUGAGAGGAUGAUCCGCCACACUGGAACUGAGACACGGUCCAGACUCCUACGGGAGGCAGCAGUGGGGAAUUUUGGACAAUGGGGGCAACCCUGAUCCAGCCAUGCCGCGUGAGUGAAGAAGGCCUUCGGGUUGUAAAGCUCUUUCGGCCGGGAAGAAAUCGUAUCAGCUAAUACCUGGUGCGGAUGACGGUACCGGCAUAAGAAGCACCGGCUAACUACGUGCCAGCAGCAGCCGCGGUAA